AACUGGCAUCUGGUGAGAUCUCUCUCCUUGGGUUGUAAGUGACCACCUUCUCUAUGUCCUUCCAUGGACUUUCCUCUGUGCUUUUGUGGUGCCAGUGCGCGUGACAUUUCCCUGAAGCCACAGCCCUUGUCACCCCCUGCAAAGCUCUGAAGUUGUGCACAGGUAGGCCAGGUGGCAGAUUUCUCUCAAAAGCGGCUGAGCUCGCGCUCUGGCUAGGGAAGGCAGAGGCCUGCGGCACAAAGUACAUUGUCUUAGACAUCAGGACAGUGUCUAUAGCAGUUUAGGAAAGAAGGCGGCUCCCUGGGCUGGAGACGACGCAAUGCUCUGGGAAGACCCCUGGGUGCGGGUGAGAGAGGAAUCCGAGCUGCACAAGGCCAAUGAGGGGAGGACGACCCGCCCGAUUUAGAUAAAGGCAAGGUAAGAAGAACUACAGAGGAAGAACCUAAUGCAGACGUUUCCCAGGAGACUUUAACUGAAGUAUCAGCAAACUGAAAGGUAACGAGAGAAUCUUGUGCCUCUGAGGGUGUCUUUCCCAUGGAUCCCUGCUCAGUUGCCUUUCACGGGCCCCCUGAUUUGCGUGAACUCCUGACCUCAGAUGAUCCGCCUGCCUUGGCCCUC
rnacentral:lncRNA from 1 species